rnacentral:lncRNA from 1 species
UAAUACUUGCAAGCCCAUAAAUGCAGGUGGUGCUUGAGCGAGGGAGGAGAAACCAUAGAAAAGGACACCAAGAAACGUGUGAUGUCCAUGACUCACUCGCCGUCCGCUCUCCCGGAACACCAAGAAAGGACACCAAGCAACACGACGCACGGCGAGUCCGCCGAGGCCGACACCGACCGACGCCCAAACCCCUCACCUACCAUUCUCUCAGGUCCGUUUGGUGCGAGUUGCAUCGGAAGCACUGCCAAUAUAUCUGUUUAAUUUCAUGGUAUUGUCGUGCCACUCCCACCAUAAAUCGUCCCAUACACUAUAAGACUCUUUGGGGACGUUCCCAUUUCACAGGUUCGUUCUGCACGUCAAUGGAUUGUUAUGUAAGAUUCCUUUGGGCAGGAGGCUACUAAGACAUCAAAUCAAGGAGACCUUAAAAGAAGCAAAAGAAGGAAGAAGGGCCCUCUCAGAUAUACCAGUAGGUGUUGAACAGUCUCGCCACCUUCCUCCCCAAGCCAAAAUGAUGGCCAAAGAAGCACACACGACCCCACCGCUGAAGCAAGUGUGCAUGCAAUCGAGCGAAAGCUGCCACCACCAACCUUCUCCUACAAGCCUCUCUCCAAUUCAUUACACCCGCUGUCCCACUCCCAAUCUACUAACCCUUCUUCAUAUGGCCUCCCC